rnacentral:lncRNA from 1 species
AAUAAAAAUAUUGUGCUGAAGCAAAUCAAACAUAGAGAAUCAAAUUAUAACAUACCAAGCAAAUAUAGCAUACUGAAACAAAUAAACCAUUACUGAAGCAGUGAUGAUACAAAUAUCACAGCAUUAGGAAUAUUAGGUAGAUGUGUUAGCGUCGACCCUUAUGACCACGACCCUUUCCUCGUGCUGACUGUUGCUGAAAUGAGUCGUACGCACCUAUUGCUCUCAGAUAAUGCAAGUAAUCUGGGUCGAUGUGUUCUUCCGGUUCCUCAAUGCGUGUCAAUUGGUAGCUUCUGAGCUCGGCUUUGCUUAUCUUGUAUACAUUAGUUACUCCGGAGGUUGAGCUUCCUUGAGUGCUUAUUGAUGUGGCUGGCUGAGCUGUGCUGACCGCUAAUUGUUGUGGCAGUUGUUGUGGCUGGUUGAGCUGUGUUCACUGCUUCUUUGCUUCCAAUAGAGUUGGUAGCUGGAAAAGUUAACCAAAUUUAGAUCUUUAAAAUAAGGAAAAAAACGAUAAUAAGAUGCCAAUAUUUUGGGAUAGGAUUGUGGAGGCUCUGAGAGUUUGUGGUGGCUUGAGAUGGAUUACGACAUAUGAGAGAGACUUGUGGUGGUUUGAGGGAAGAG